UACGGGGGGGGCAAGCGUUGUUCGGAAUUACUGGGCGUAAAGGGCUCGUAGGCGGCCAACUAAGUCAGACGUGAAAUCCCCAGGCUCAACCUGGGAACUGCGUCUGAUACUGGAUGGCUUGAAUUCGGGAGAGGGAUGCAGAAUUCCUGGUGUAGCGGUGGAAUGCGCAGAUAUCAGGAGGAACACCAAUAGCGAAGGCAGCUCGCUGGGACGUUACUGACACUGAGGCGCGAAAGCGUGGGGAGCGAACAGG
rnacentral:rRNA from 1 species